AGAAAAGAAAAAACUUCAAAACCACCCCCCUGUGGUUUCGCAUUUUUUUUAUUUUAAUACCAUGUGAUUUAAAGUGUAUCAAGUUAGUACCAUAUGGUUUCGCACUUUCUCACUUUCGUACCCUGUGGUUUAAAAUGUAUCAAGUUAGUACCCUGUGGUUUUAUUUUUGUAUCAAGUUAGUAUCCUAUGUUUUAUUUUUCUCUUAUUAAUGAAAUAUUAAAUCAUAGGAUAGUAAAGUGUGAAAGUGAAAAACUAUAGGGUACUAACUUGAUACAUUUUAAAUUGCAAAGUACUAACUUGAUACACUUUAAACCAAAGGGUGCUACAGUGAGAAAGA
rnacentral:lncRNA from 1 species